rnacentral:lncRNA from 1 species
GUUUUAAUUCUAUUUAAGAAUAGAAUUGUAAAAAGAGUUCAUAUUGUUUUGUUUGUCUUCUCUUCUUUGUCGAAAGCCCACUUAUUCCAUUUCCUUUUAUCUUGAAGCCAAUUUCUCUUUUAGGCAUGAAAGAAUCAAAGAGUGGGAUCCUCAACAACACAUAGAAUCCAUUCUUUUCCAUUUUUCCAUUUAUCUCACAUUUGGUAUACUUCCACAAUAAACAGAGAAAAAGCCAACCACCACAUCACAAUAUCUAAAAGGCAUCAUCGAAGCUCAAAAUUUCAACCAAAAGCUUCAAAUGUUCCACACAAAGCAGCAGUCGAAAUCCUGACGCAGUCGGUGGGGGAAGCGCAGGAUUCUGUCGGCACCCACUUGAAUAUUCUCACGGGUUCCGGCAUCUUCCAGUGCGAUUUGCGCUGGAGAUCGGCGGCUCUACGUGUAGCAGCUGCUGUUGCAGAUACCAUGCCCAACAUGAUUGGUAAACUGUUCAUGGUGCAGGAUCACCAAGGCUGAGAAUCUAGAGCAUCAGAGUCGCCUACACAAACCACAGCG